rnacentral:rRNA from 1 species
AUUGAACGCUGGCGGCAGGCCUAACACAUGCAAGUCGAACGCGUGGCGGACGUGUGAGUAAUGUCUGGGAACCUGCCUGAUGGCGGGGGAUAACUACUGGACACUGUAGCUAAUACCGCAUACCCUCGGAUGUGCCCAGAUGGGAUUAGCUAGUAGGUGGGGUAAAGGCUCACCUAGGCGACGAUCCCUAGCUGGUCUGAGAGUAUGACCAGCCACACUGGAACUGAGACACGGUCCAUACUCCUACGGGAGGCAGCAGUGUGGAAUAUUGCACAAUGGGCGCAAGCCUGAUGCAGCCAUGCCGCGUGUAUGAAGAAGGCCUUCGGGUUGUAAAGUACUUUCAGCGGGGAGGCGUUACCCGCAGAAGAAGCACCGGCUAACUCCGUGCCAGCCGCCGCGGUAAUAC